rnacentral:pre_miRNA from 1 species
GUAGUAUUCCCUCCGUCCCAAAAUUCUUGUCUUACAUUUGUUUAGAUAUGGAUGUAUCUAACACUAAAAUGUAACUAGAUACAUCCGUAUUUAGAAAAAUUUAAGACAAGAAUUUUGGGACAGAGGGAGUACAAA